rnacentral:rRNA from 1 species
UACAGAGGUGGCGAGCGUUGUUCGGAUUUACUGGGCGUAAAGGGUGCGUAGGCGGUCUUGUAAGUCGGAUGUGAAAUCCUACUGCUUAACGGUAGAACUGCAUUCGAAACUGCAAGGCUUGAGUGCAAUAGAGGAGAUCGGAAUUCUUGGUGUAGUGGUGAAAUACGUUGAUAUCAAGAAGAACACCGGUGGCGAAGGCGGAUCUCUGGAGUGCAACUGACGCUGAGGCACGAAAGUUAGGGGAGCAAACAGG